rnacentral:rRNA from 1 species
CUACCUGGUUUCCAGGUCGAGUUGUAAUUUGAAGAUACGUUUUUGACGUUCCGGGUUGRACUAAAUCCUUUGGGAUAAGGUAUCAUGGAGGGUGAGAAUCCCGUAUAUACCAACCGUAGGGAUGUUAUUUAAUACGUUUCUAAGAGUCGAGUUGUUUGGGAAUGCAGCUCUAAAUGGGUGGUAAAUUUCACCUAAUGCUAAAUAUAAGCGAGAGACCGAUAGCGAACAAGUACAGUGAUGGAAAGAUGAAAAGAACUUUGAAAAGAGAGUUAAAUAGUACGUGAAAUUGUUGAAAGGGAAACGAUUGAAGUCAGUCAUGCCAGUGGGAAUCAACUUAGAGGAAACUCUGAGUGCACUUCUUCGCUUGGCAGGUCAACGUCGAUUUUGGAUGUCAUAAAAUGAUUGGGGGAAGGUAGCUCCUUCGGGAGUGUUAUAGCCCUUGGUAGAUGUGAUGUCUGGGAUCGAGGAUUGCAAUGGAUACCCUUUGGGGCUAGCC